UCAGGAUGAACGCUAGCGGCAGGCUUAACACAUGCAAGUCGAGGGGCAGCGGGAUGUAGCAACACAUGCCGGCGACCGGCGGAUGGGUGCGUAACGCGUAUGCAACCUACCUUAUACAGGGGAAUAACCUUUCGAAAGGGAGACUAACACCCCAUAGUAUUGAUUUAAGGCAUCUUAGAUUAAUUAAAUAUUUAUAGGUAUAAGAUGGGCAUGCGUAUGAUUAGCUAGUUGGUAAGGUAACGGCUUACCAAGGCGACGAUCAUUAGGGGUUCUGAGAGGAAGGUCCCCCACACUGGUACUGAGACACGGACCAGACUCCUACGGGAGGCAGCAGUGAGGAAUAUUGGUCAAUGGGCGCAAGCCUGAACCAGCCAUGCCGCGUGCAAGGAAGACGGCCUUAUGGGUUGUAAACUGCUUUUACAUAAGACUAACCGUAUAUUUGCGAAUAUACCUGAAUGUAUUAUGAGAAUAAGGAUCGGCUAACUCCGUGCCAGCCGCAGC
rnacentral:rRNA from 1 species